AGUGAACGCGGCGGCGUGCCUAAUACAUGCAAGUCGAACGGAAUUUAAAAGAGCUUGCUCUUUUAAAUUUAGUGGCGCACGGGUGAGUAAUAUAUAGCUAAUCUGCCCCUUGCUGGAGGACAACAGUUAGAAAUGACUGCUAAUACUCCAUGCUCCUUUUUACCAUAAGAUAAAUCGGGAAAGAAUUUCGGCAAGGGAUGAGACUAUAUCGUAUCAGCUAGUCGGUGGGGUAACGGCCUACCGAGGCUAUGACGCGUAACUGGUCUGAGAGGAUGAUCAGUCACAUUGGAACUGAGACACGGUCCAAACUCCUACGGGAGGCAGCAGUAGGGAAUAUUGCGCAAUGGGGGAAACCCUGACGCAGCAACGCCGCGUGGAGGAUGACACUUUUCGGAGCGUAAACUCCCUUUGUUAGGGAAGAAU
rnacentral:rRNA from 1 species